CAUCGCGAGGUGGAAUCUGGAGAAAGUCGGAUGUCAGCGAAAAAAACGCUGGAGGGCAAACUUCCGAACCGACGAACAGAAAUCACAUAGUAGGCCGUACAGGGACGGACGAGUGUGCUAUCCAACACAAAGUCCAAUGCUGCCCGAAUCCCGUGCGGUAAAUGUGGCGGUUACAUGGGAGAAAAGUUGUU
rnacentral:ncRNA from 1 species